GUUAUUCCUUAUCUUCUCUAAUAAGUUAGUUUGUUGGAGCCUGUCUUCCUGUGCUCUGGCCCAGUUGAAAUCUGGAUAAAACACACGAAGACAGGCUCAUCGUCGUAGUCGCCGUAUUCAGCGUCCCC
rnacentral:sRNA from 1 species